CAUGGAUUCAUCAUAAUAAGAUAUCAAGAAGAUCAAAAUUUUAUCAAGUUCCACAGAAUUGUAUAGCUAGAAAGUACAAUAAUCAAGCUAACAGGAAAACCAUUUAAGAAGAAGUAUGACCACAAGAUACAACUAAGCCUAUGCUAGUACCAGAAGACUGAUUGGUCAUUGGUAGCUUCUUCUCUUUGGUUCUCCUCUGAUGAAGCAAGAAGCAAUUCUACCUUUUACUGAGUCUUGGCAUAACCUAGAUCAUUUUCACUAUGAUAAUAACAAAUCAACGAGGCUCCCUUUUGAUCAGUCAAUCUUCACAGAUGAGUAGAUUUUCCUAACAAACCAGAAGGAAGCAUAGAAUCCGAUGGUUCCUGUUACUACAAAGAAGGCGUAUGAUGCAAUCAACAUAUAGCCGAAAUACAGGAUUCCUGAAACCAACUUUGUGAUUUCCAACUUGGUGAAGAAGUAGAAGACGGAGUAGAGAAACAGGUAUAAAGCAGAGGAUCCAGCAGUCAGAUAUGCUCUCCACCACCAAUGAUAGUCUUCGCUGCACAACUGGAAGUAACAGAGCACAACGGAUAUCUCCGCACAUGUGAUUAUCAAGAUCAGGAAAACGAUGAAAAGGAAGCCAAAGAUGUAGUAGUACUGGUUCAGCCAUAUAGAGGUCAGGAUGAAGAAGAGUUCAAUGAAAACAGCUCCAAAUGGGAGAAUACCCCCAAUAAGUACAGAAAAAGACGGUGUCAUGUACCAAGCCUGCUCUGGUAUUUGCCUAGGUAUUUUGUUUGUCUUAACAGGGUCCUCAAUGGCUGGCUUUUUAUAUCCAAGGUAGCUUCCAACAAACACCAAGGGGACCGAGAUUCCAAACCAUAAGCACACAAGAGCAAACAUGGUUCCAAAUGGCACUGCUCCAGAAGAUCGCUCUUCCCAGAUGAGAGCAUUCAAUAUGAAGAAGAUAGCAAAAAGUAUACCAGGGAACAUGAAAGCAGUUUUCAAGGUAAUCCUUUUCCAUUCUGUUCCCUUGAACAUCUUGUAUAGACGUGCAGAAGUAUACCCAGCCAACAAACCCAUGAAAACCCAUAACAGAACCAUGGCAGUCAUUAGUCCACCGCGGUUGGAAGGUGACAAGAAACCUAGCAGAGCAAAGAUCAUUGUGACUAGUGUCAUUGCAAGUAUUUGUACACCAGUUCCAACAUAAACACAAAGUAAUCCAGAAUUGAUUGGAGGACGGAAGACAUCUCCAUGAACAAGCUUCCAUCCUGUUUCUUCUUGAGCUUCAUCUUGUGUUUCCAAUUGGUUAUAGUUCGCAAUAUCUCUGUACAAAGUUCUCAUCAUAAUCAUGGCAACCAUACCAGAUAGGAAGAGAACGAUCAUAAGAGAAUUUAUGAUGGAAAACCAAUGAAUCUGAUCAUCAUUCAUGAGAAGGUAUGUAUCCCAACGAGAAGCCCACUUCACAUCGCUUUCCUUGAAAGCAACAUCAUAUGUGAAUAUAACCUCCUUAUCUGUAUCUACUUCCUGGGGAGCAGCACUACCUAGUAUCAAUUUUUUUGUAUUCUCAUUGCACGUCGAUACUUGAGGGUUCUUGUCAUUCCAUUCCUUGUAUUCGUGAUUAAUGCUGUUUGGAAUGACUUCAAACCCAACAAUACGAGCAGUAUCAGUUUCAGGAUCCUUGUGGUACUUAACUAGAAAGCUUAAGUGGUUGUUUAUAAAAUAUCUCUCCUCUUUGCUCCCAGCAUAAUUCCCCUUGAACCCAACACGGAAACCAUGUUCAUAUGUAGUUGACUGACUUCCAUCCUGCCUUUGCCUAGGAACAGCAACAGGAAGAUUAUCCAAUAUCAUAUUAACUUUGUAUUCAUCGUCAAUCUUUUCCUUGAAAUUUUUUGCAGAUUCAGCAUCAAGUUUUUGCCGACACAAUACUUGGCAUGACUGAUCUUGUCUCAUAAGGAAAGAAUAAACUGAAUUCUCUAUGCGGUCUCCUCGAAGAACCUCCCCCAGAUUCUCCGCACUAUUCAAAACUUUAGUAGGUUUGCAGAACUUCAAGUAGUAAUAGUCAUAGGGAAGUUGUGUCUUAGUAGAUGACAGCUUGUUCACUUUAACAUCAAGUGAAUCACCAGUUUGAAAAUCGCGAGGAGCAACGCCGGGGAGAUAGAAGGAGUUCGUCGACGAGAUGCAGAAGACAAUAGAGAAGCAGAUGACGGUGAGCCGGCCGGAUAAUCCGUGACCCAUCUUCAGUUUUUUC
rnacentral:misc_RNA from 1 species